rnacentral:rRNA from 1 species
UACGUAGGUGGCAAGCGUUGUCCGGAAUUAUUGGGCGUAAAGCGCGCGCAGGUGGUUCCUUAAGUCUGAUGUGAAAGCCCACGGCUCAACCGUGGAGGGUCAUUGGAAACUGGGGAACUUGAGUGCAGAAGAGGAAAGUGGAAUUCCAAGUGUAGCGGUGAAAUGCGUAGAGAUUUGGAGGAACACAGUGGCGAAGGCGACUUUCUGGUCUGUAACUGACACUGAGGCG